rnacentral:rRNA from 1 species
CUAGCGACUUCAGAGUUUGAUCCUGGCUCAGGAUUAACGCUGGCGGCGUGCAUAACACAUUCAAGUCGAACGGAGAGGACUGCUUCGGUAGUCUUCUUAGUGGCGGACGGGUGAGUAACGCGUGAGUAAUCUACCCCUGGGUACGGAAUAACAACCGGAAACAGUUGCUAAUACCGUAUGAAAUGGCAGUACCGCAUGGUACAACCAUCAAAGAUAUAUUGCCCUGGGAUGAGCUUGCGUCCGAUUAGAUAGUUGGCGGGGUAACGGCCCACCAAGUCGACGAUCGGUAGCCGGACUGAGAGGUUGAACGGCCACAUUGGAACUGAGAUACGGUCCAG